rnacentral:rRNA from 1 species
AGAGCCUGGACCAGGCAUGCCGCGUGCAGAAUGACUGGCCUAUGGGUGUAACUGCUUUUGUCCAGGAAUAACCUAGAUACGUGUAUUCUAGCUGAAUGUACUGGAAGAUAAGGAUCGGCUAACUCCGUGCCAGCAGCCGCGGUAAUACGAGGAUUCCGAGCGUUAUCCGGAUUUAUUGGGUUUAAAGGGUGCGUAGGCGGCCUAUUAAGUCAGGGGUGAAAUACGGUGGCUCAACCAUCGCAGUGCCUUUGAUACUGAUGGGCUUGAAUCCAUUUGAAGUGGGCGGAAUAAGACAAGUAGCGGUGAAAUGCAUAGAUAUGUCUUAGAACUCCGAUUGCGAAGGCAGCUCACUAAGCUGGUAUUGACGCUGAUGCACGAAAGCGUGGGGAUCGAACAGGAUUAGAUACCCUGGUAGUCCACGCCCUAAACGAUGAUAACUCGAUGUUGGCGAUAGACAGCCAGCGUCCAAGCGAAAGCGUUAAGUUAUCCACCUGGGGAGUACGCCCGCAAGGGUGAAACUCAAAGGAAUUGACGGGGGCCCGCACAAGCGGAGGAGCAUGUGGUUUAAUUCGAUGAUACGCGAGGAACCUUACCCGGGCUUGAAAGUUAGUGAAGAGUGCAGAGACGCACUCGUCCUUCGGGACACGAAACUAGGUGCUGCAUGGCUGUCGUCAGCUCGUGCCGUGAGGUGUUGGGUUAAGUCCCGCAACGAGCGCAACCCCUAUGUUUAGUUGCCAGCAUGUAGUGGUGGGGACUCUAAACAGACUGCCUGUGCAAACAGAGAGGAAGGUGGGGACGACGUCAAGUCAUCAUGGCCCUUACGUCCGGGGCUACACACGUGCUACAAUGGAUGGUACAGCGGGCAGCUACAUAGCAAUAUGAUGCUAAUCUCU